UUUAUUCACCAGGAGGGAGUCCUGCUGAGAGAAGAGACAGGCCUUCAGCAUCACGCACUCCAUAUUGUACGUCGCUCGCCACGAAACUGAGAUCCACACGUUCAUAAACGUGCCUGCGAGUAGAGCGUUCCACUACAGAGCCUCAGGUCUCUCAGGAAUCUGUCAGUGAGCAGAGAGAUGGGGACUCUGACAUGGAGGUCUGGGCCUCUGGCUCCAGUUUCCAAGCAUUCACCCUGGCUGGGCUGUCAGGCUACAGACACUGCACAGCCCUGAUAUUACAGCAGACCAUGAUGCCUCUGUAGGACCUGAAGGAAUCUGAGUGAUACUUUCUGAGGCCAGACCUGGAACCAACAGUCAAGUUAACCACGACGAAAACCGAGUCUGAGAAGAUGAACUGAAAUGGCCACUGUGCACGAUGAAAACUGUCAGCCAAGGAAGGAGGGUCCCUCAUUUGUGGUUUCACAUGUCAACCACACAGCCAUCAUUAAAGGUUCAAAACAUUAAAUUAACUGAAAUUAUCAACAGAAGACAAUUUGCAUUUUAUGUUAAAGAUGUAUAUUGUGUUGCAGAGAUAUCUACUGAGGUUAGUUUCUGUGUGUCCUGUCUUGUAAUACCUGGGGACACAUGCCAUUGAGUUAACCUCUAUAUUUUAUUAUGGAAAUUUCACAUCCAUAAAUGUAAAUUUCAAGAUUCA